GUGCGAGAAGGCCGGUUUCGGAUCGAGGAGAGGACGCUGACGGCUUUCCAGUGGCUGUACUCGCCCCACCAGCACCGCAUCGUCAGCCGGGCAGACCUGGGCUCGCCCAGCAGGAUCGACAAGACGAUGCUCGCCAGCCUGAAGAUCAAGUAACAGGAGCUGGUG